AUUGAACGCUGGCGGCAGGCUUAACACAUGCAAGUCGAGCGGGGGAAGGUAGCUUGCUACCUAACCUAGCGGCGGACGGGUGAGUAAUGCUUAGGAAUCUGCCUAUUAGUGGGGGACAACAUUUCGAAAGGGAUGCUAAUACCGCAUACGCCCUAAGGGGGAAAGCAGGGGAUCUUCGGACCUUGCGCUAAUAGAUGAGCCUAAGUCGGAUUAGCUAGUUGGUGGGGUAAAGGCCUACCAAGGCGACGAUCUGUAGCGGGUCUGAGAGGAUGAUCCGCCACACUGGGACUGAGACACGGCCCAGACUCCUACGGGAGGCAGCAGUGGGGAAUAUUGGACAAUGGGGGAACCCUGAUCCAGCCAUGCCGCGUGUGUGAAGAAGGCCUUUUGGUUGUAAAGCACUUUAAGCGAGGAGGAGGCUACCGAGAUUAAUACUCUUGGAUAGUGGACGUUACUCGCAGAAUAAGCACCGGCUAACUCUGUGCCAGCAGCCGCGGUAAAAC
rnacentral:rRNA from 1 species